rnacentral:rRNA from 1 species
AACGAACGCUGGCGGCAUGCCUAACACAUGCAAGUCGAACGAUGCCUUCGGGCAUAGUGGCGCACGGGUGCGUAACGCGUGGGAAUCUGCCUUUCGGUUCGGAAUAACUCAGGGAAACUUGAGCUAAUACCGGAUAACGUCGCAAGACCAAAGAUUUAUCACCGAAAGAUGAGCCCGCGUAGGAUUAGCUAGUUGGUGAGGUAAAGGCUCACCAAGGCGACGAUCCUUAGCUGGUCUGAGAGGAUGAUCAGCCACACUGGGACUGAGACACGGCCCAGACUCCUACGGGAGGCAGCAGUGGGGAAUAUUGGACAAUGGGCGAAAGCCUGAUCCAGCAAUGCCGCGUGAGUGAUGAAGGCCUUAGGGUUGUAAAGCUCUUUUACCCGGGAAGAUAAUGACGGUACCGGGUGAAUAAGCCCCGGCUAACUCCGUG